rnacentral:rRNA from 1 species
ACGAGUGGUGCAAGCGUUAUUCGGAAUCAUUGGGCGUACAGGGCGUGUAGGUGGUAUGUUAAGUCUGUUGUUAAAGACUCUAGCCUAACUGGAGAAAGGCAAUGGAAACUGGUGUACUAGAGGGUGGAAGAGAGAAGUGGAAUUCUCGGUGUAGCGGUAAAAUGCGUAGAUAUCGAGAGGAACACCGAUGGCGAAGGCAGCUUCUUAGUCCAUACCUGACACUGAGGCGCGAAAGCGUGGGGAGCAAACAG